AGAGUUUGAUCCUGGCUCAGGAUGAACGCUGGCGGCGUGCUUAACACAUGCAAGUCGAACGAACCUUCGGGUUAGUGGCGGACGGGUGAGUAACGCGUGGGAAUCUGCCCUCAGGAGGGGGAUAACGGUUGGAAACGACCGCUAAUACCCCAUAUGCCGAGAGGUGAAAUGAAUUUCGCCUGAGGAUGAGCCCGCGUCUGAUUAGCUAGUUGGUGAGGUAAUGGCUCACCAAGGCUUCGAUCAGUAGCUGGUCUGAGAGGAUGAUCAGCCACACUGGGACUGAGACACGGCCCAGACUCCUACGGGAGGCAGCAGUGGGGAAUUUUCCGCAAUGGGCGAAAGCCUGACGGAGCAACGCCGCGUGAGGGAUGAAGGCCUCUGGGCUGUAAACCUCUUUUCUCAAGGAAGAAGAUAUGACGGUACUUGAGGAAUAAGCCACGACUAACCCCGUGCCAGCAGCCGCGGUAAUACGGAGUGGCAGCCGUAUCGGAGUAUCGGGCGUAAAGCGUCCGCAGGCGGCCUUUCAAGUCUGCUGUAAAAACGUGGAGCUUAACUCCAUCAUCGCAGUGGAACUGUAAGGCUUGAGUGUGGUAGGGGCAGAGGGAAUUCCCGGUGUAGCGGUGAAAUGCGUAGAUAUCGGGAAGAACACCAGUGGCGAAGGCGCUCUGCUGGGCCAUAACUGACGCUCAUGGACGAAAGCCAGGGGAGCGAAAGGGAUUAGAUACCCCUGUAGUCCUGGCCGUAAACGAUGAACACUAGGUGUCGGGGGAAUCGACCCCCCUCGGUGUCGUAGCUAACGCGUUAAGUGUUCCGCCUGGGGAGUACGCACGCAAGUGUGAAACUCAAGGAAUUGACGGGGGCCCGCACAAGCGGUGAGUAUGUGGUUUAAUUCGAUGCAACGCGAGAACCUUACCAGGGUUUGACAUCCUGCGAACCUCUAAGAAAUUGAAGGUGCCUUCGGGAACGCAAUGACAGGUGGUGCAUGCCUGUCGUCAGCUCGUGUCGUGAAAUGCUGGGUUAAGUCCCGCAACGAGCGCAACCCACGUUUUUAGUUGCCAGCAUUUAGUUGGGCACUCUAGAAAGACCGCCGGUGAUAAACCGGAGGAAGGUGUGGACGACGUCAAGUCAUCAUGCCCCUUACAUCCUGGGCUACACACGUACUACAAUGCUACGGACAAAGGGCAGCAAACUCGCGAGAGCAAGCAAAUCCCAUAAACCGUGGCUCAGUUCAGAUCGUAGGCUGCAACUCGCCUACGUGAAGGAGGAAUCGCUAGUAAUCGCAGGUCAGCAUACUGCGGUGAAUACGUUCCCGGGCCUUGUACACACCGCCCGUCACACCAUGGAAGUUGGCCACGCCCGAAGUCGUUACUCCAACCCUUGUGGAGGAGGACGCCGAAGGUGGGGCUGAUGACUGGGGUGAAGUCGUAACAAGGUAACC
rnacentral:rRNA from 2 species